rnacentral:rRNA from 1 species
GACGAACGCUGGCGGCGUGCUUAACACAUGCAAGUCGAGCGGUAAGGCCCUUUCGGGGUACGACGAGCGGCGAACGGGUGAGUAACACGUGGGUGACCUGCCCUCAGCUCUGGGAUAAGCCUGGGAAACUGGGUCUAAUACUGGAUAUGACUCCACGGUGCAUGUCGUGGGGUGGAAAGCCUUGUGCGGCUGAGGAUGGGCCCGCGGCCUAUCAGCUUGUUGGUGGGGGAUGGCCUACCAAGGCGACGACGGGUAGCCGGCCUGAGAGGGCGACCGGCCACACUGGGACUGAGACACGGCCCAGACUCCUACGGGAGGCAGCAGUGGGGAAUCUUGCGCAAUGGGCGAAAGCCUGACGCAGCGACGCCGCGUGAGGGAUGACGGCCU